rnacentral:lncRNA from 1 species
AAAAUCGAAGUAAACCCUACCACAAUCAACAAAUUGAAUUUAUCUCAAAGAAUGAAAUCAAAAUUUCGACCAAAUUAAGAAAUCCACAUGCAAUCCCAGUUAAUCACAAUAAUAUAUAAUAUUUACUAAAAUCUCAACAAUAUACAAGAUAAAAAAAAAAAUCUGUUGAACUAUAUAUGCUUAUAUAGUAAAGAAGAAAAUGAAGUGUAGGAAAUUUGAAUAUUUUUCUGAUAUUAAACUUACAUUCAUGAGCUCUUUAAAUAUAGCAGAGCAUAACAAAUUUCAGCUAUAAAAUAGGAAAUAAAGCAUCCAAUAACGAAAUAAUGGGAGAUAUGCUGUCAACAAACUCCUUAUGACUAGGAACAAAUAAACUUAUUUCUCAACAUUAUUCCUCCGUUAAACUGAUGUUCUCAAACAAUCAGUUUAAUCUUCCAUAGUGCAGACACCAAGUAACUUUCUGAGCUUGACAAAUGGUGCUGCUUUGAGAGACUUAGUGAAUAUAUCAGCAAACUGAUUUCACUUCUGCAAUAAAUCAUUUGAAUUACUCCUUCUCUGCUAAGAUCUCUUAAAAAAUGAAAUUUCACAUCAAUAUGUUUGCUUCUCCCAUAUAAAACAGGAUUUUUAGACAACUUUAUGGCAGAACUAUUAUCACAAUAAAUUAUAGUUCCUUUUUGUUGUUUAAAAUUCAGCUCUGCAAGUAUAUUUCUCAACCAAAUUGCUUGUGAAGCACAAGAAGUAGCAGCCACAAAUUCAGCCUCAGUUGUCGAUAACGUGACAAUUGGCUGCUUCUUUGUUGACCAUGAGACUGCACCAGAACUUAACAUAAAAACAUAACCCGAAGUACUCUUUCGAUCAUCCAAAUCUCCAGCAUAAUCACUGUCUGUGAAUCCAGCCAAUUCUGAUUUUUCUCCUUUUUUGUAAAACACCCCAAAAUUAGUUGUACCUUUUAAGUAGCGUAAAGUCCUCUUGGCAGCUAAAAGAUGUAAUUCAGUGGGGUUCUCCAUGUAUCUGCUGAUUACACUCACGGAAUGCAUAAUGUCCGGCCUUGUUGCUGUCAAGUACAUCAAACUUCCAACAAUUUGUUUGAAAAGAGUGCUGUCAACCUUCUUGCCAUCUUGAUCUUUUGUGAGCUUCAAUCCAGCAUCUGAUGGUGUAGUAACAGAAUUGCAAUUGCUCAUUUGAAAUCUAUCUAAUAUCUCCCGAACAUAUUUCUUUUGAGAGAUAAAUAUUCCAUCAGCAGAUUGCACUACUUCUAUGCCCAGAAAAUAAUGCAACCUUCCAAGAUCAAACAUGUCAAACUCAAGCAUCAUGGAUCUUUUAAAAUUCUCAAACAUAACACCAUCACUUCCAGUAUAAAUUAAAUCAUCUACAUAUAAGCAUACAAAUAACAUUUUUCCUUCAUCUCCAUUUUUUAUGUAAAGAGUAUGCUCAUACGGGCAUUUUCGAAAACCUUCCUUUUGAAAAUAAGCAUCUAUACGACUAUACCAAACUCGAGGUGCCUGCUUAAGUCCGUAUAGAGCCUUUUUCAAUCUGUAAACUUUAUUCUCUUCACCAGCUUUAACGUAACCAGGAGGUUGUUCGAUAAAUACAUGUUCUUGUAACUCUCCGUGCAAGAAGGCCGACUUUACAUCUAACUGGAAAAUGGGCCAUGAAUUUUGAGCAGCUAUUGCAAUCAUUAAUCUGAUUGUAUCAAGUCUUGCAACAGGAGCAAAGACUUCUCUAUAAUCCACACCAAAUUCUUGCUUGUAGCCUUUCGCCACGAGCCGAGCCUUGUAUUUAUCAACUUCUCCGUUCUCCUUCAAUUUGGUUUUAUAAACCCAUUUGACACCAAUUUUUUUGUGACCAAUUGGAAGAUCAGAAAUUUCCCAUGUAUCAUUUUUUUCAAUUGCAGCUAUUUCUUGAUUCAUCGCUUCUCGCCAUUUUUUGUCUUUGACAGCAAUUUCAAAAUUUGUUGGAUCACAAUCUGAAAAUAGAGCAAGAUAGGUGAGAGGAUCAUCUGAAUUAUCAAUUCCUGUUACCUCAUAAUCUGACAUCCAAGCUGGCCUUUUUCGAACACGUUGAGCACGUGAAUUUGUUGGAGUUUCAGUUUCUGCCUCCAAAAUUGGUGCGACAUCAGAAUUCGGAACAUCAACAUCGUCAUUUUGGGAAUUUCCAGGAACGACAUUAGGAGCUUCUUCUUCAUUUUCUCCAUCAAAAUUGGUUGGAAUUUGAACUUGAGUGACAAUUUUAUCCCACAACCAGAAACUGUUCUCAUAAAAAACAACGUCUCUGUUAAUGAUAAUUUUCUUAGUGUUAGGAUUAUAAAGUUUAUAGGCCUUUGAUUGAUCACUAACACCAAGAAAAAUACAUUUUUCCCCUUUGUCAUCAAGUUUCUUUCUCUUCUGAUCUGGAAUAUGUGCAUAUGCAAUGCACUCAAAAAUUUUAAAAUGAUCCACUGCUGGUCUUUGUCCACUCCAAGCCUCUUCCGGAGUCAUGUUUUUAACUGCAAAAGUGGGACUUCUGUUCAGAACGUUAAUGCUCCAAUUGACAGCUUCAGGCCAAAAAUUUUUGGGGACGCUACUGCUCUUUGAUAGACUUCGCACCAUAUUCAUAAUAGUGUGAUUUUUCCUUUCGCAAACUCCGUUUUGUUGAGGUGAAUAAGCUACUGUAAGUUGUCUCUUUAUUCCAUGAGCCUCACAAAAAUUUGCAAAUUCAUGUGAGUUAUAUUCACCUCCACGGUCUGUUCGAAGAGCUUUUAUUGGACUUCCAACCUCCUUCUCUACAAGAAUUUUGAAGCUUUUGAAAGCUUCAAAAGCCUCAGAUUUUUCCUGCAAAAAAUACACCCAAAUUUUUCGUGUGUGAUCGUCAAUGAAGGUGAUGACAUAACGUUUACCUCCAUUGGAACAUGGUGUUAUUGGACCACAAAGGUCAGAAUGUACAAGUUCCAGAACAGUCUUUGCUCUCUUUGAUUUUCCUUGUGGAAAUGAAUUACGAUGUUGUUUAUUCACGACACAAUCCUCACAAAUUUGAGAAGGUGGUGUAAUUUGAGGAAGGCCAAUCACCAGGUUCUUUUGCUCCAGGGUCUUUAAUCCACCAAAAUUUAAAUGUCUGUAACAGAAGUGCCAUAACCAAGCUUCAUCUCCUUCUUUCACCAAGAAACAUGAAUUAUAAACAUGAUUAAAAUGAAGAGGAAACAUUCUAUUUGGUGUCAUUUUGACCUCAGCAAUUAAGCCUAAAUUAUCAUCAGGAAGUCGGAAUAUUCCAUUCUUAAUUUGAAUUUCAUACCCCUUUUCUUGCAGUUGACCAACACUGGGGAGAUUGGUCUUUAAAUCUGGAACAUAAAAAACAUCACCAAUUUUGUGGGUUGCAUUACUUCUUGUUUGAAUAGUUACCUGACCCUUUCCCAUGACAGAGACUCUAGUGUUAUUUCCCAAUUUCACCGAGUCCUGAUAGGAUUCAUCCAUGAUGGAGAAGACAGACUUGUUCCCACUCAUAUGGUUGCUACAUGCAGAGUCAAGAUACCAAAUAUUUGAUUUAGUAUCUUUCUCUGACUGAUUUGAUGUUUGGUAGGUCAUUAGUAGAGUGAUUUCAGAAUCCUCUUCCUUUUCUGCAAAAUUAGAUUGCCUUCCACCAUUUCUAUUCAAAUUAGUUCGACAUUCUGAUUGAUAAUGACCAUACCUGUGACAUCUAUAACAUUCAACUUUAGAUUUGUCAACAUACUUUGGCUUUGAAUGGUCAUCUUCUCUUCCUGUUUCAAAAUUAUCAGAGUGCCUCCCACCACCAUUACUGUUGCUGUUUCUGCCUCUUCCUCUGGCUCUGCCUCGGCCUCUACCUCUUCCGCGACCACCUCCUCUCGCUGCUGAAGAGUGAUUACUUGAUGAGGUAAGUAAAGCUUGUUCCUCAAUAUUUUGGCGAUUCAUUUUCUACUCAUGAACUAGCAAUGAACUUUGCAAUUCAUCAAUUGAAAGUUCACUAGUAUCUUUGGAUUCCUCAAUUGAACAAACAACAUAUUCAAGCUUUCUACACUUCAUUGCUAGUUCAUUGCUAGUUCAUGAUCAUAAAAAUAUUCAAGUUUUCUACACUUCAUUUUCUUCUUUACUAUAUAAGCAUAUAUAGUUCAACAAAAUGGCAGUAGAUCAUCUCAUGCGAUGAACUCCAGAUGGCUGAAGGGCUAAGGUGAUGAGUUGCUGAUGGCCGAGCGGUUGAGGCGACGAGCUGUUUUGGCUGAGGGGUUGAGGUGACGAGUUGCUGAUGACCGAGAAGUUGAGGCGACGAGCUGUUUUGGCUAAGGGGCUGAGGCGAGAGCUAUUGUGGCUGAAGGGCUAAGGUCUACUAGGGUCGAGGUGCACAACUGAGAGUCUGAGGUGAGAGCUCUUGUGGCGGAAGGGUUGAGGCGAUUAGCUGCUAUGAUUGAGGUGCUAAUGCGAUGAGCUGAUGCGACCGGUGGUUGAACCGGGUGGAGAAGAAUGCGAC